AACGAACGCUGGCGGCAUGCCUAACACAUGCAAGUCGAACGAGACCUUCGGGUCUAGUGGCGCACGGGUGCGUAACGCGUGGGAACCUGCCCUUAGGUUCGGAAUAACUCCCCGAAAGGGGUGCUAAUACCGGAUAAUGUCUUCGGACCAAAGAUUUAUCGCCUUUGGAUGGGCCCGCGUUGGAUUAGCUAGUUGGUAGGGUAAAAGCCUACCAAGGCGACGAUCCAUAGCUGGUCUGAGAGGAUGAUCAGCCACACUGGGACUGAGACACGGCCCAGACUCCUACGGGAGGCAGCAGUGGGGAAUAUUGGAAAAUGGGCGAAAGCCUGAUCCAGCAAUGCCGCGUGAGUGAUGAAGGACUUAGGGUUGUAAAGCUCUUUUACCCGGGAUGAUAAUGACAGUACCGGGAGAAUAAGCUCCGGCUAACUCCGUG
rnacentral:rRNA from 1 species